GGUGUAUUAAAAGAGAAGUGAAACUUUAAGAUUUUUUUUUGAAGAGAGAAAGUAAAAUUUUUCUUUUUGAAAGAAGAUUUUGAAAUCAUGGAAACUUUUUUCAAAGGAAUAAGAAAGAUUUGUAAAAGGAUUAAUUUUAUUCUAAAAAAGCUUAAUCGCUUCAAAAAGAAAGGAUUUAUUCUUUCUUUUUUAUAAUCUCCAUUCUUGAACUCAUGGUGACAAAAGGAACCCAACAGUUUAAUUAAAACCAAGCAAUGCGAUGGAUGCAAAACGUCUUUGACGCAUUGUGAUUUCUGCUCAGUGCUCUGAAUGUUAAUGUGGAGAAAUUCGAUUAAGCGCGAGUCAACAGCGGGAGUAACUAUGACUCUCUUAAGGUAGCCAAAUGCCUCGUCAUCUAAUUAGUGACGUGCAUGAAUGGAUCAAUGAGGUUCCUCCUGUCCCUACUAUCGCGCUCGUGAAACCACAGC
rnacentral:rRNA from 1 species